GCACACCCGUGGCAUAUGGAGGCUCCCAGGCUAGGGGUCCAAUCAGAACUGUAGCUGCCAGCUUAUACCACAGCAGCCAUAGCAACGCCAGAUCCCAGCUGUGUCUGCAACUUAUGCCACAAUUCACAGCAACUCCAGAUCUUUAACGCACUGAGUGAGGCCAGGGAUUGAACCCGCAACCUCGUGGUUCCUAGGUGGAUUCAUUUCCACUGCGCCACAAUGGGAACUCCUGAACAUGUAUUGUUUUUAUGAAACUAAUAGAAACACUAUCCUUUGAAUACUGUUAUGCAAAACAAUGUGAAUAUACUUAUAUUUUUAAAUGGUUAAGAUGCUAUUAUGGCCUUACAGAUGGAUUUUUGACUAUAGCAAAUUUUUCUCAAAUCAACUUUUCCACCCAAGGUUCCCCUUCAAACUUUACACUUCACUUAAUACUCUGUACUUGCCUAUAUACCUUAUCUAAUUUUAGAAAAUAAGAUUAUUCACUGGAAGAUAUUUUUAUAAGAAUGCAAAAUAGAUGCCAUAUAAAAAGUAAUAUAUUCUAUUACUCUAUUAAAUAUCUCAGUGUUUUAAGAAUAUAUGUCAUUUGAUUUACAUAUGUGGGGAAUAUUUUAAUGAUUUUUUUUUCUGAUAAAAUAAUAUAUGCUCAUUUUAGAAAAUAUGAAAAAGGUAAAAAUUACCAUAAUUACAUAGCACACUUUGGUAUGUUUUUCUACCACCCUUCUUCUAUGCAUAUAAAUAAAUGAGAAAUAGUUUUAUAAUCUAAAAGCUUUAUCUGUACAUAAAGUUAAAUAUUAAUAUUUCUCUGUGGCAUUAAAUAUUUUUAAUGGUUGCAAAAAUUCCAUUAGAUUGAUGUACCAUGGAUUGGUUCCUGGAAGUGGAACUACUGUAUCAAAGAUACGUUUGGAAGACUCCAGAAAGGUAGGUAAUACAGUAAUAGAUGAGUUUGCAAAUUUCAUUGCAUUCUUAGCAACACUAGCUAUUAGCAUUUAUUUUCAGUAUCUGUCAGUCUUUGGGGAGACUUUCUAUAAUUUAGUGCGACAAACUUGCAGUUUUGCUCAUACACUCAUAUUAAUAACUUUACUAUUUCAAGGACUUAAAGUUCUUUGUCUUCUCCAUGAUGCUUAACAGAGCCUUGCCCAGACAUUGAAGAAAUGCAUAUUUUAAUUGGCUUUGGCAACAUUUCUUUUAAAAUAAAUUAUAUUUUGAACACAUGGAAAGGUGAAGAAAAGUAACAUUAAAAAAGAUCCAAAUUAUUUUACUUAAUAAAAUAGAAGAUUGUACUCAAUUCUUAAUGUAGUAGUAGAGCAUUAUGGCUAUCAGCCAGCAAUGUUAUAUUUAUUGAAUUUAUUUACUGAAAUCAUACUGAUUUUAUUGAUUAUUGUGUCAUUAUCACUAUAGCACUUUCCAAAAUGUUUCAAAAUGCUUGGUUUAUAAGGUUAAGAAAAACGUUCACUAGAUAACUACUUUGAAAUAAUUUCUUCAGCGCUGCCUUCAUUCAAGAGGACUAGAAGCAUACUGGCCUGUUUCCAACUUUCUUUCAUGUUAUCUUUGCUAUGAAGUCAUUCUAUAGAUAGGGUAAUAAGCAUUUUGGCAUACAGAAAAAUAGCAUCUGUAAAACUAUAUGGCACAGUUUGGCUGGAGUUGUUCCUCCUUGAGAACUGCAUUACGUAAUUUAAAAGUGUUUUCUUAAGCUCCUUUGGGCUGCCUCCAUGGUAGCUAUGAAGUCACUGAGAACUAGGAACAGUUUGGGGCUUGAUAACAAAGUCUAUUAGUUUAAAGUGAACACUGUCAGUAUUUUAAAAAAUCAUUGCUUGAUAAGAAAUUUUAAAAACAAAGAUAUACUUAAUUCAUUUUAUUUUUUAAGGAAGCUUGCUACCUCAAAAAAUCAUCGAGAAAUACACACACAAAAAGGGUUCAUAAAUGUACAUUUGUUCAUUACUUAGAUGCUCUUAUUUUAAAACCUGUACUCUAUAGCAUGAAUUCACAGUGUGAUUUCAACUCAAUGUAACUAUAAAUAAUUAUGCAAAAUUACCAACAUGUAUAAAGCACAGCCUUUAGGAGAGUAUGAAUUAUUAAAAUGACUUCAGCACUAUUUCUGUCUCUAAAUCAUAAAGGAAGUUUUCUAAGGGAACAUCAAAGAUGUAUAAAUUAUAAUAAUAUCAGCUCUGGGAGAAUUUUAAAAGAUACUGGGUUAAAAGAAAAGAUUAAUCUCGACUACACAAAAAAAGGUAGUAUUUUCACUUCCCUAGAGAGAGAACUCUUGAGCCCCUUUACCAACCAAAUAACAAUGUGUACUAGUUUUAAAGAAAAAUAAUGCAUUGUGCAUUGUAAAAGUGGGAGAAGAGUCAUUCAGAAUUUGUAUGGUAAUCAAGUGUUAUAUCACCUCAAAGAAACAUGCAAAUUCUUAUAAAUUACCUAAAGUCUCAGCCGUCACUUUAGAAUUACUGAGUUUUAUGAAUAAACAAGCCCAAGUAAAGUCGAGACAAGAUCCUGACAUCUGAAAAGAUAUAGACCUUUUUUAGAAAUACCAUUUUAAUUAUGUAACAUGGAUUUAUUAUGAAAUUACUUAUUGGAACAAUAAUCUCCUUAGCAUUUUGCUUUUUAACUUUGAGAAGUCAUUUUGUGGCAUUGCCAAUGAUCUAGUGAGGUCCAAAAUCAGUGACAAUUCAAGGAGGGAAUGAAAAAAACUUUUAGGACCUGAUCAUCUGCUUGAAGGUACAGCCACUGUAGGUUUCCCAUCUAGCUUGGGAGAGAGAGGUGUCUGUGUAUGA
ensembl:lncRNA